GAUGAACGCUGGCGGCGUGCCUAAUACAUGCAAGUCGAACGAUGAACCGGGUGCUUGCACUCGGGGAUUAGUGGCGAACGGGUGAGUAACACGUGAGCAACCUGCCCCUGACUCUGGGAUAAGCGCUGGAAACGGCGCCUAAUACUGGAUAUGUCCCGUCACCGCAUGGUGUGCGGGUGGAAAGAUUUUUCGGUUGGGGAUGGGCUCGCGGCCUAUCAGCUUGUUGGUGAGGUAAUGGCUCACCAAGGCGUCGACGGGUAGCCGGCCUGAGAGGGUGACCGGCCACACUGGGACUGAGACACGGCCCAGGCUCCUACGGGAGGCAGCAGUGGGGAAUAUUGCACAAUGGGCGGAAGCCUGAUGCAGCAACGCCGCGUGAGGGAUGACGGCCUUCGGGUUGUAAACCUCUUUUAGCAGGGAAGAAGCGAGAGUGACGGUACCUGCAGAAAAAGCACCGGCUAACUACGUGCCAGCCGCCGCAGUAA
rnacentral:rRNA from 1 species